ensembl:lncRNA
GCUUUGAGAGGGUAACAGUGUUAAGGCUUUGAGACUGUAACAGUGUUAAGGCUGAGAGGGUAACAGUGUUAAGGCUUUGGGACUGUAACAGUGUUAAGGCUUUGGGACUGUAACAGUGUUAAGGCUGAGAGGGUAACAGUGUUUAGGCUUUGGGACUGUAACAGUGUUAAGGCUUUGGGACUGUAACAGUGUUAAGGCUUUGGGACUGUAACAGUGUUAAGGCUUUGGGACUGUAACAGUGUUAAGGCUUUGGGACUGUAACAGUGUUAAGGCUGAGAGGGUAACAGUGUUAAGGCUGAGAGGGUAACAGUGUUAAGGCUUUGAGAGGGUAACAGUGUUAAGGCUUUGGGACUGUAACAGUGUUAAGGCUUUGAGAGGGUAACAGUGUUAAGGCUUUGAGACUGUAACAGUGUUAAGGCUUUGGGACUGUAACAGUGUUAAGGCUUUGAGAGGGUAACAGCGUUAAGGCUUUGGUACUGUAACAGUGUUCAGGCAGCAGUAACACGGGGGCGAGGAUGGACUCACCAUGGCGUACAGGGGGCUGGAGUUGAUGAGGAACUGCAGCAGGACCAUGGUGAGCUCCUGCAGGUCCACCAGGACCUCGGUGGCCCUGUGGGGCAGACCCCGGAGCUGGCCCACCAGGUCCAGCUCGGCCAGCAGGCCGGCCUGGGCCCGGACCUGGGUCAGGGCCAGGCCCCGCAGGGCCCCCGUCUGCAGCGCCAGCGCCGACAGGAACAGCUGCAGCUGACGGAGCUGCAAGCCCAUCAUGUCCACCACCCGGCCCAGACCCACCUAGAGGACCACCAGUACAGAACCAGUACAUCAGUACUCACACCAGUACAGGCCCAGUACAUCAGUACUGACAAUGAU